rnacentral:rRNA from 1 species
AUUGAACGCUGGCGGCAGGCCUAACACAUGCAAGUCGAACGGUAACAGGAAUAAGCUUGCUUCUUUGCUGACGAGUGGCGGACGGGUGAGUAAUGUCUUGGAAACUGCCUGAUGGUGGGGUAUAACUACUGGAAACGGUAGCUAAUACCGCAUAAUGUCGCAAGACCAAAGAGGGGGACCUUCGGGCCUCUUGCCAUCGGUUGUGCCCAGAUGGGAUUAGCUAGUAGGUGGGGUAACGGCUCACCUAGGCGACGAUCCCUAGCUGGUCUGAGAGGAUGACCAGGCACACUGGAACUGAGACACGGUACAGACUCCUACGGGAGGCAGCAGUGGGGAAUAUUGGAAGAUGGGCGGAAGACUGAAGAAGCUAUGCAGGGUGUAUGAAGAAGGGCUUCGGGUUGUAAAGUACUUUCAGCGGGGAGGAAGGGAGUAAAGAUAAUACCUGUGCUCAUUGACGUUACCCGCAGAAGAAGCACCGGCUAACUCCGUG